AUUGAACGCUGGCGGCAGGCCUAACAACUGCAAGUCGAGCGGAGCGGCGGACGGGUGAGUAAUGCCUAGGAAUCUGCCUGGUAGUGGGGGAUAACGUCAGGAAACGGGCGCUAAUACCGCAUACUAGCAGAUGAGCCUAGGUCGGAUUAGCUAGUUGGUGGGGUAAAGGCCUACCAAGGCGACGAUCCGUAACUGGUCGGAGAGGAGGAUCAGUAACACUGAACAUGAGACACGGUACAGACUCAUACGGUAGGCAGCAGUGGGGAAUAUUGGACAAUGGGCGAAAGCCUGCUCCAGCCAUGCCGCGUGUGUGAAGAAGGUCUUCGGAUUGUAAAGCACUUUAAGUUGGGAGGCGUUACCAACAGAAUAAGCACCGGCUAACUUCGUGCCAGCAGCCGCGGUAAUUC
rnacentral:rRNA from 1 species